AUAAAUGGCCUGUUCCUUAGAAAAGGGAGGCACCAGCCACAGAGUCUGCACUGGUUUCAGAGUAAGCUUCUGGGAAUAAAGCAGGUAGGGAAAUGGAAAUUUAAAAAUUACUAAGAAUAAAUAGACCAGACAGUAGAAGGAUCAGGUAACUUCAGGAGAAAUCUGCUGACUGCAGACCACCACAAACCUCUAAAUUUUUGAGUCAGAAGUGUUUCCGAAGGCUAAUCUCCAUAAUAAGAGACAGAAUACAUAUUGAUGAAUUUUCCUCAAGGAUCUGGAGAAUUUUGUAGCACAGUGAAAUUUUAUUUAUUUGUUCAUUUUUGGCCACGUCUGAGGCAUGUGGAAGCUCCUAGGUCGGAGAGUGCACACACACCACAGCAGCAACCCAAGCCACAGCAGUGACAACACUGGAUCCUUAACCUGCUGUGCCACAUGGAAACUCCACAAUGAAUUUCUUGAUAGGUGGGAGAUUUCUCCCCAAUGUGUGCAUGUUUGUAUAUUUAAUGCUUGUGCUGACCUGUUAUGCUUAACUUUGGCCGGGUUCUCUUAUCAAAGAAUAAUGAAGGGAAGGAGUCCCCACUGUGGCUCAGUGGAUUAAGAAUUCGACUGCACCAGCCCGGCUUGCUGUGAAGGCACAGGUUUGAUCCCCAGUCCAGCUCAGUGGGUUAAAGGAUCCGGUUUUGCCAUAGCUGUGGUGUUAAGUCACAGCUGGGGCUUGGAUUCAAUCCCUGGCUUGGGGAAUCCGAGUGUGACCAUUAGGGAGCUUGGGGUAAAUAGAUGCAGAAUGUUGCCUUUGGGAUAGAUCAGUAAUGGGAUCCUGCUGUGUAGCACUGGGAACACUUGUCUAGUCACUUAUGAUGGAACAUGUAAUGUGAGAAAAAAGAAUGUAUACAUGUUUGUGUAACUGGGUCACCAUGCUGUACAGUAGAAAAAUAUAUAUACAUAUAUAAAUAAAUGAUAAAAAAGACAAUCCCCCCCCAAAAAAGAAAAAAAAAAAGGUAUAAUGAAGGAAAGUAGAAUAUACCACCUCAAAAUAUACCUCUUUGACAUCUUGAUUAUUUUGAGCUGGCUAUUUUUUCUUUUUGGCCUCGACAGUGGCAUGCAGAAGUUCCUUGGCCAGAGAUUGAACCAAGCUGCAGCAGUGACAGUGCCAGAUCCUUAACUCUGCCCAACAAGGGAACUCUGAGUUGGCUAUUUUAAAAAUAGAGAUAGCAGGAAUUCCUGUUGUGGCUCAGCAGAAAUGAAUCUGACUCGUAUCCAUGAGGUCAUAGGUUCGAUCCCUGGCCUCACUCAGUGGGUUAAGGAUCAAGCUAGGGGUCGAAUCGGAGUUACAGCUCCCGGUCUACACCACAGCCACAGCAACGCCAGACCUGAGCUGUGUCUGUGACCUAUACCACAGCUCACGGCUACACCAGAUCCCCGACCCACUGAUUGAGGUCAGGGAUUGAACCCACACCGUCAUGGAUACUAAUUGGAUUCAUUUCCACUGCUCCACAGCAGAAACUCCUGAAAUUCUUCCUGAGAGGUACUUCUCACUAUCUAAGGGUCUGUUUAUCCAAAGCAUAGAGAUCCUCAUCCUGUUUUUUUCCAUUCUAAAUUGCCUUCAGGGCACACUGUCUGUGGGCAUCCACAGUGAAUUGCGACUUAGCCCUUUAUAUACCUGGAUGAUGAAUGACUCUCUUUGUUCUUUUUUUGUUCACAAUAGCGAACUGGUCCAGUGGAGGAUGGGGUUGCAUUUGUUUCUUUGUCUCUUUAGUCUCCUUCAAUAACUGCAGCACUUCCUAUUCUUUCUUGUCCUUUUUUUUAACUUUCAUAACCUUAACACUUGAAGGCUAUAGGCCAGAGUAUUUCUCAACUUGGGUUUACCUGAUAUUUUCUUUUUUCUUUUUUUCUUUUUGGCUGGGUGCACAGUGGCUUGAUGUGGGAUCUCAGAUCCCAGAUCAGGGAUUGAACCCGGACCACAGUGGUGAAGGUGCUGAACCCUAACCACUAGACCACCAGGAAAGUCUCACACCUGGUAUUUUCUAAUGGUUGGAGUCAGGUUAUAAAUUUUUGGCAGAAAUAUCACAAAAUUGAGGUUGUAUACUUCUCACUGAAUUCCAACAAGAGGAACACAUUUUGAUUUGUCCUGUUACUUGAUCAUUUGAUUAAAGUGGUUUCAUUUGGUUUUCUCCAUUUAAAAUUACUGUUUUCCUCUUCGCAAUGAAUAAAUAUGUUGUGAAAAAAUACUUUCAGACUAUGUAAAUAUACCAUUCCCCAUCAAACUUUCACUCACUAGUUUUAGCAUCCUUCAAUGUUUCUUAGAUGAAUUAUUACUGUGAUAGUUUGUCAAAUGGUGAUUUUCUAAUUCCAUCAUUCCUUCUAGUUUAUUAAUGAUAUUCUACUGUAAAGGAAAAAAAUCUCUCUUCUCGUCAUUAAUUCAUUCUUUUAUUCAUAUCAGUAUGGAUUCAUAUUUUAUUUUUGGUUUCAUUUUACUAUGUAGCACUUUCACUUGAGUGAAAAUGGUAAUUGUCACUGUCAGUUUCUUAUUCCUAAUCUCAAGGGGAAUGUUUUCAAUGAUUUGUGAUUAAGUAUGGUGUUUGCUCUGCGUGCAUGUGUGUUUUCAAAAAAAUACCCUUGUGUCUUCUUAUGGCAAAAGCGAAAGUCCAGCCUUGUAAGCAGGCCUUUCCGAGUAUAACAGUCUCAGACCUAUUAUGCUAACAUUUUUCUGUGCAAGAUCACAGCCUUUUGGAACUAUCAGCUACCUUGACAGGUAACAUGUACUUUGAUGCAGGGAUAAGAUCUUCUGCCCUGGCUUGUUCUCCUGUUGGUGAGUUUGAGAGUGGGAAUGGGGUACAUCCCAGAGUAGAGAGCUUCCACUAUUUUAAUAUGGUCUCAACCACUUCCCAUUUACUUCAUUCCACCCAUCAAGUGAUCUUGUUCUUCAGUAUCCCCUACCCACUUCAUAUCUCUGCCCUGUUUUCCAGAGGCUGUCUUCCUCUACUGUGACUGAUUCUUCCACUGGGUGAGGGAGAGAGGGAAGGUAUGGGAGGGAAUGCUCAGUGGUCUUUUUAGGGCCCACACCUGUGGCAUACGGAAGUUCCCAGGCUAGGGGUAGAAUCGGAGCUGUAGCUGCUAGCCUACACCACAGCCACAGUAACGGGGCAUCCGAGCCAUGUCUGUGACCUACACCCCAGCUCAGAGCAAUGCUGGAUCCUUAACACAGUGAGCAAGGCCAGGGAUUGAACCCGAGUCCUCAUGGAUACUAGUUGAGUUCUUUACUGCUGAGCCACAGCAGGAAACCACCCCCCCCCCUUUUUUUUUCUGUGUGCACUUCUUGUUAUCAACUCUUCACUCAGGUAGAGUCACCCCACUGUGAGUCUGCCACUUAGGGCUGGAGCUAGAACUGUGCUGGUGAUGCUGCCUUCUCACCAAACCAAAGUGAAGGGAUGGGCAGCAAUCCUCCCACGACAGUGUGGGCAAGAGACUAAAAGGCCCAAUUAGGAAACUGCUUCCCAUCACUUUCCCAGUCAUAGGGCAUAGCUUCCUUUUGCCAGAACCUUCUUUCCUUUCACACAGGGGCUCAAGCACUCAUUUUCCCAACCAUUUCUCUCAUUCCCUUCAUAUUAGGAUCCAGCAAACUCCCUGUCACUUUGUGGCUUCUCCAGAGUUCAAGGGAGGGAGCUAUGAGUUCAUGCUAGUUUGUCAUAUUCUGCAGAACUGUCAAUCUCUUAAGGAAGAAACUUAAUGGAAGUCAUAAGAUCUAUAUGAAGGAAAGAGGAGUGUUAUUGAAGGAUAAGAUAUGAAUAAAUUGGAAAGAUGUCAUAUUCCUGGCUGGGGAGACUAUAUAUUAUAAAAUCCCAAUCAUUCCAAGGAUAUCAGUCAUUCUUAAAUUAAUAUAUAAAUGUAACUUAAUUUGAAUAAAAUUUCCAGCUUAUUUUAAUAAAAGAAAAUAAAU
rnacentral:lncRNA from 1 species